GGAAGUUUAGCUCAGCUGGGAGAGCAACGCCCUUACAAGGCGUGGGUCGUGGGUUCGAGCCCCUCAACUUCCACCA
rnacentral:tRNA from 1 species